CAACCUCUCCUGAUGACCAGACAGCCCUGCGUGUCUCUAUCUAAACUUCUAUACGGCGAAGGGCGCAUGCCCCGACAAACCAGUUUUAGUUUAUUUGGUGGUCACAUGGACAUGUAUAACUGUGGUAAUUCUAGAGCUAAUACAUGCGCCCAAACCCAACUUUUUGGAAUGGUUGUGUUUAUAUAAUACAAAACCAACCCCGGCUCCUCCUGGCCUUGAGGUGAUUCUUAAUAACCGAACGAAUCGCAUGGCUAUGCCGGCGAUAAACCAUUCAAGUUUCUGACCUGUAGCUACCGUCGGUGGGUAUUGGCCUACCGUGGCAAUGACGGGUAACGGAGAAUUAUGGUUCGAUUCCCGAGAGGGAGCCUGAGAAACGGCUACCACAUCUAAAGAAGGCAUCAUGCGCGCAAAUUACCCAAUCCUGACACAGGGAGGUAGUGAGACGAAAUAUCACUACUGGGCAUACAUGUCUUGUAAAUGGAAUGACUAAACUUUACAUC
rnacentral:rRNA from 1 species